AGAAGCUGCCAGUUGAGGACCUGUGAGGCGCCUAUUUCUCAAACUAGAGACUCUAAUGUACUUGUCUUCUUGCUGAGUUGUGCACCGGGGCCUCCCACUUCUCUUUCUGCUCUGGUUAGAGCCCGUUUGUGCUGUUCUCUGAAGGGAGUAGUACACACCGCUGGAGGACAUUUUCAGUUUCUUUGUAAUUUCUCGCAUGGAAUAGCCUUCAUUUCUAAGAACAAGAAUAGACUGGCGAGUUUCACAGGAAAGUUCUUUUUUUCUGGCCAUUUUGAGAGUCUUAUCGAACCCACAAAUGUGAUGCUCCAGAUAAUCAACUAGCUCAAAGGAAGGCCAGUUUUAUAGCUUCUCUCAUCAGCAAAACAGUUUUCAGCUGUGCUAACAUAAUUGCACAAGGGUUUUCAAGGGUUUUCUAAUCAUCCAUUAGUCUUCUAAGGCGAUAACACAAUGUACCAUUAGAACACUGGAGUGAUAGUUGAUGGAAAUGGGCCUCUAUACACCUCUGGUGAUAUUUCAUUAGAAACCAGACGUUUCACCUAGAAUAGUCAUUUACCACAUUAACAAUGUAUAGAGGGUAUUACUGAUUAAUUUAAUGUUAUCUUCAUUGAAAAAAACAAUGCUUUUCUUUGAAAAAUAAGGACAUUUCUAAGUGAUCCCAAACUUUUGAAUGGUAGUGUAUAUAUACACACACACACACACAUAUUAGUGCUGUGAAAAAUAACGUGUUAAUUAAAUUACAGGUUUAACUAGUUAUUUAUUUAUAACGCAUGCGCAGAAUGAGCUUCCAAUCCGUCUGUUGUUGGUCGUCUCUAACCAGCAGCAUAGCAUCCCCCCCCGUUCCCCCCCCCGUCAACAACUCUUCUCUCGGCUCGCGCGGCAGAGCUCCGAUGAAGCGCAAGCACUGGUGAGCAAUGCAGGGCUCUCAAGUGUCACGCAUUGAGCGUGAGACUCACGCAUUUCGGUCUUAACUCACGCACUCCCGCCACACAUCGUAUUUCUCACGCUGAAAAAAACUCUCGGCUCUUUGAUGUUUUAAUGCAGGGGUGCUCAAUAUGUCGAUCGCGGUCGCCGCAGAGCUUCGAUGCCGGCGCGCGCAUCGCUCCGAGAAUUGUUGAUGGGGGGGGGGGGGGGGAAAUUACAGGGUGACGGGUGGAGAUUUCCCCCUGUUAUAAUAGGGGAAACACUGGAGUUGAUAAGCGUGUCCUCUUGUCUGAUCAAUACGCAACUGUGAGGUGCGCGAAUGGACCGAGCGGCCAGCUGCUGAUCACUCACUCAACAAAUGGAGCUGAGUGGAGGAGACGUCUAGGGACUAACAACUGAGACUAGUCAACUUGUGUGUGUGUGUAGAUGCUAACGUUCCUGAUGCUAGCCCGCCUAGCGUCCCUGAGUCCUGCAGCGGUCCUCCAGAGGCUGGACCGUCUCAUCGAGCCCCUCAGGGCGACCUGCACCACCAAGGUGGCCGGAUCCGUGAAGCAGGAGGAGCUGCGGCGCUCGGUGGCGAGGAGCCCCAACAUGGCCGACUUCGCCGACUAGAUCAGAAGCAACCCGACAUAGCGUCCAGGGGGGGGGGGGGAAGAGCAUGGACCUCAGCUAGCGGGGCGGUUGUUUGUGACGCUACGGAAGCCAAGAAGGGCCAAAACACAGACACUGUUCAUGUCCCCUGAAGGCCACCGUAGUUCUCUGCCUGGCCACCAGAGGGCAGCAGACCCGUACGCUGGCCCUGUAAGAGCUCAGCUCAGGAAAUAAAGUUUGGACAGUUGAA